GCGUUGUCCGGAAUUAUUGGGCGUAAAGAGCUCGUAGGCGGCUUGUCACGUCGGAUGUGAAAUCCCGAGGCUCAACCUCGGGCCUGCAUUCGAUACGGGCUAGCUAGAGUACUGCAGGGGAGACUGGAAUUCCUGGUGUAGCGGUGAAAUGCGCAGAUAUCAGGAGGAACACCGGUGGCGAAGGCGGGUCUCUGGGCAGUAACUGACGCUGAGGAGCGAAAGCGUG
rnacentral:rRNA from 1 species